rnacentral:rRNA from 2 species
UUGACCUCAAAUCAGGUAGGACUACCCGCUGAACUUAAGCAUAUCAAUAAGCGGAGGAAAAGAAACUAACAAGGAUUCCCCUAGUAACUGCGAGUGAAGCGGGAAGAGCUCAAAUUUGAAAUCUGGCAGCUCUCUGAACUGUCCGAGUUGUAAUCUAGAGAAGUGUUACCUGUGCUGGACCGUGUACAAGUCUCCUGGAAUGGAGCGUCACAGAGGGUGAGAAUCCCGUCUUUGACACGGACUGCCUGCAUGUUAUGGUGCGCUCUCAAAGAGUCGAGUUGUUUGGGAAUGCAGCUCAAAAUGGGUGGUAAAUGCCAUCUAAAGCUAAAUAUUGGCGAGAGACCGAUAGCGAACAAGUACCGUGAGGGAAAGAUGAAAAGAACUUUGGAAAGAGAGUUAAACAGUACGUGAAAUUGCUGAAAGGGAAACGCUUGAAGUCAGUCGCGUCGGCUAGAAAUCAACCUUGCUUUUGCUUGGUGUACUUUCUUGUUGAUGGGUCAGCAUCAAUUUUGACCGUUGGAUAAAGUCGUUGGGAAUGUGGCAUCUUAGGAUGUGUUAUAGCCCAUUGUCGCAUACAGCGGUUGGGAUUGAGGAACUCAGCACGCCCGCAAGGGACGGGUUUCGACCACGUUCGUGCUUAGGAUGCUGGCAUAAUGGCUUUAAUCGACCCGUC